GACGAACGCUGGCGGCGUGCCUAAUACAUGCAAGUCGAGCGCUGAAGGUUGGUACUUGUACCGACUGGAUGAGCAGCGAACGGGUGAGUAACGCGUGGGGAAUCUGCCUUUGAGCGGGGGACAACAUUUGGAAACGAAUGCUAAUACCGCAUAAAAACUUUAAACACAAGUUUUAAGUUUGAAAGAUGCAAUUGCAUCACUCAAAGAUGAUCCCGCGUUGUAUUAGCUAGUUGGUGAGGUAAAGGCUCAACAAGGCGAUGAUACCUAGCCGACCUGGGAGGGUUGUCGGGCAAAAUGGGAAUGAGGCACGGGCCCAACUCCCUAGGGAGGCAACAGUAGGGGAACUUCGGCAAAGGGCGGAAGGCUGAACGAGCAACGGCGGGUGAGUGAAGAAAGGUUUCGGAUCGUAAAACUCUGUUUGUAGGGAAGAACGUUGGUGAGAGUGGAAAGCUCAUCAAGUGACGGUAACUACCCAGAAAGGGACGGCUAACUACGUG
rnacentral:rRNA from 1 species